GCCUGGAUAGCUCAGUUAGUAAGAACAUGGUGCUGAUAACCAAGGUUGUAGGUUUGAUCCCUUUAUGGGACA